GGGAAGAAAAAGGAAACAAUUGGUAAAUUUAGAUGCAUUAAAAUUUAUAACAGAUGUAAUGAACAUUGUUUGCAAAUUAAAAGGAAUCUUACAACUGACAAAAUAUUAAAAUCUAGAAAAUAUGAAGAAUGCCUACAAAUCAGUUACAAAAAGACAAAUAAGCAAGCAUCAUAAAUAUAUGACAAUAUGCUCCACUUUAAUAACAAACAUCCAUCUUCCACAGCUAAGUGCUGCUGGAGGAGACCUUCCAGAUUCCUCAGGGCUAAGGCAAGAGCUUCAUGUCCAAGAGAAGGAAGAAAGCAUUCCACCUGCAUUAUGAAAUCUGCAGUUGAGAUCUCUGGUGAUAAGAAUUAUAUUGCAACAGAACAGGACUCAUCAACAUGAAUGAAGAAGGAAGGGAAGUCACAAGCAC
rnacentral:lncRNA from 1 species